rnacentral:rRNA from 1 species
GAUGAACGCUGGCGGCGUGCCUAAUACAUGCAAGUCGAGCGAACAGAUGAGGAGCUUGCUCCUCUGACGUUAGCGGCGGACGGGUGAGUAACACGUGGAUAACCUACCUAUAAGACUGGGAUAACUUCGGGAAACCGGAGCUAAUACCGGAUAAUAUAUUGAACCGCAUGGUUCAAUAGUGAAAGACGGUUUUGCUGUCACUUAUAGAUGGAUCCGCGCCGCAUUAGCUAGUUGGUAAGGUAACGGCUUACCAAGGCAACGAUGCGUAGCCGACCUGAGAGGGUGAUCGGCCACACUGGAACUGAGACACGGUCCAGACUCCUACGGGAGGCAGCAGUAGGGAAUCUUCCGCAAUGGGCGAAAGCUUGACGGAGCAAAGCCGCGUGAGUGAUGAAGGUCUUCGGAUCGUAAAACUCUGUUAUUAGGGAAGAACAAAUGUGUAAGUAACUAUGCACGUCUUGACGGUACCUAAUCAGAAAGCCACGGCUAACUACGUG